GUGCUCGCUUUGGCAGCACAUAUACUAAAACUGAAAUGAUACAGAGAAGAUUAGCAUGCCCCCUGUGCAAGGAUUUCAUACUAUAAAAAUAAAUAUUUUCUUUACAU